CAUGUCCUUUUGAAUAUAAUUUAAGGUCUGAUCUGCUCAAUGAAUUUUUAAAUAGCCGCAGUAUUUUGACUGUGCUAAGGUAGCAUAAUAAUUAGUUUCUUAAUUAGGAACUGGAAUGAAUGAUUGGACAAGAAAAUUUCUGUCUCUUUUUUAAUUAUUGAAUUUUAUUUUUAAGUGAAAAAGCUUAAAUGUUUAUAAAAGACGAGAAGACCCUAUAGAGUUUAAUAUUUUUUUUUAAUUAUAAAUUAGAAUAUUAUUUUAAAUUAGAUUAUUUGGUUGGGGUGAUUUAAAGAUAUAAUUAAUUCUUUAAAAUAAUAAUUAAAGAUUUUUAAAUUUUAAAUCUAUAGUUUAUAAAACUAAAAUAAAUUACCUUAGGGAUAACAGCGUAAUUUUUCUUUAAAGUUCUUAUUAUAAGGAAAGUUUGCGACCUCGAUGUUGGAUUAAAAUAAAUUUUUGGUGCAAUAACUAAAAAAUUAGGUCUGUUCGACCUUUAAAAUUUUACAUGAUCUGAGUUUAGACCGGUGUGAACCAGGUUGGAUUCUAUCUUUAUAUAAAAAAUAUAUUUUAGUACGAAAGGACCAAGUAUAUAUUAAAUUAAUUGU
rnacentral:rRNA from 1 species